AACGAACGCUGGCGGCAUGCCUAACACAUGCAAGUCGAACGAGACCUUCGGGUCUAGUGGCGCACGGGUGCGUAACGCGUGGGAACCUACCCUUAGGUUCGGAAUAACUCCCCGAAAGGGGUGCUAAUACCGGAUAAUUUCUUCGGACCAAAGAUUUAUCGCCUUUGGAUGGGCCCGCGUUGGAUUAGCUAGUUGGUAGGGUAAAAGCCUACCAAGGCGACGAUCCAUAGCUGGUCUGAGAGGAUGAUCAGCCACACUGGGACUGAGACACGGCCCAGACUCCUACGGGAGGCAGCAGUGGGGAAUAUUGGACAAUGGGCGAAAGCCUGAUCCAGCAAUGCCGCGUGAGUGAUGAAGGCCUUAGGGUUGUAAAGCUCUUUUACCCGGGAUGAUAAUGACAGUACCGGGAGAAUAAGCUCCGGCUAACUCCGUG
rnacentral:rRNA from 1 species